rnacentral:rRNA from 1 species
AAAGGUGAAAUUAGAUUAUUUUAUUUUAAUAAAAAACUAAAAUUGAAGCUAUAAAUUAUUAGGAUAAAACUAGGAUUAGAUACCCUAUUAUGCUAGUAAAUAUAAGAGCCUGAAUUAUUAUUAGAUAUAUUCUUAAAAUUUAAAGAAUUUGGCGGUAAUUUAGUCUUGUUAGAGGAACCUGUUUUUAAAUCGAUAAACCACGAAGAAUCUUACUCAGGUUUGUAUACCAUCAUUAUCAGAUAAUUUUCUUUUUAAAAAUCAAUUAUUAAAAAUUAAAAAUUAAAAGUUAAAUAAAAUUAGAUCAAGGUGCAGCUAAUAAAUGAGUUAAAAUGGGUUACAAUAAAAAUUUAUUUAUAACGAAAUAAUAUUUAAUGAAGGAGGAUUUAAUUGUAUUUAGGUUUAAUAAGCCAAAAAGAUAUAAGCUCUAAAUUAUGUACAUAUCGCCCGUCGCUCUC